rnacentral:snRNA from 1 species
AUACUUACCUGGUGCUGGGACUACCCUGAUCAAUUAGGGGGUAUCCCCAGGAAGAGGCGCGGUCAUUGCACCUCGGCCGUGCUGACGCCUGCCACUAUCCCAAAACUGGGGCAGAUGGGGCAUGCAUUUUUUGGUAGUGGGGGACUGCGUUCGCGCUAUCCCCCU